AUUCGGGGACACGCGACCUGGCGACCCUCCGCCAUGGCCUCCCUCCGCCCUCCCUUCUUCUGUGGACUGUCUUGUUGUGGGGAGCGGGUUCAAGUUUUUUCUUUGUAUUUUUGGACAUCUGGAAUCUGUCUUUUUUGGGGGGGGAUACUGUUGCGAUCCGCUACUUGGAUCACCACAUAUGGUUUAUACUUCCAGUUGUUGUAUCACUGUUGUUCUACACUCUUACUUCCUGUUUAGUCAGUCACCAUGGUUCACUCAUCAGUCCACCUGCUAGUCUCGCCCCGCACACCUGCUAAUAAUUAUCACCCUCCUAUUUAAGCUCACUUUUUCUGUUUACUCAUUCUGGGACUCUAAUUUGCCUUCGAGCAACAUUCACGACUGUUUACUACCCGUGCAUGUCUUUGGAGGUGGGAGGAAGCCGGAGUACCCGGAGGGAACCCACGCAGUCCAGGGAAAACAUGCAUACUCCACACAGAAAGAUCCCCAGCCCGGGAUUGAACCCAGGACUUCUCAGGACCUUCGUAUUUCCGUGAUUCCCUCUGCUGCGGUAGCGCGCAGAAGCUCCGCUGGGAACACCACACACGCCCCCGCGCUCAUCAGGCAGACCGCGCCCACUCUCUGCCGCAGCCGGCGGCAAUCCACGUCUGACACACCUGGCAUUGAUGACGGACGGCAGUAUAAAGAUGGCCGACGCUGACUCAUCGACGUCAGAACGUAAUCUACUAUACUCGCUCGUGUCACCACUGCUAUUUCCCUCCUGGACCCGUUUUGCCUUCCCGGAUCUUUGACCUAGCUUUGGACUUUCGGACCCUCUCUCCUGCCUUUGACCCCCGCUUGGACCUUGGACUUCCCCUGGCUUGUUCCCACUUAGAUUUGGACGCUGAACAUCCAACACGCAUCUCAACAAACCUCACGGUAUUCAUAUAUGGCAGGGGUCGGGAACCUUUUUGGCUGAGAGAGCCAUACAAGCCAAAUAUUUUAAAAAGUAUUUCCGUGAGAGCCAUAUACUAUUUUUUUAAGACUGAAUACAACUAAAUGUGUGCAUUUUUAAGUAAGACCAACAUUUUUAGAGUAUAAUAAGUCUAUUAUUCUUUUCAAUAACAUUGUUAUUCUGAAGCUAACCAACAAUAAAUAAAAUGAUUCGUGCCAAUAAUGCGACUUCUUGAACAGGUGCGGUAGAAACCGGAUGGAUGGAAUAAAAUGCACAAGAAUGUUUUAUAUUUUGAACAUUAUUUUUGACACUGUGAUGACCAGCGGAAUUAUUUAUUACUUACCGUGUUAAGCAAUGUCAGCUGAGAUGUAUCGGAGAGCCAGGUGCAGUCAUCAAAAGAGCCACACCUGGCUCUAGAGCCAUAGGUUCCCUACCCCUGAUAUAUGGUAAUUCCACACAUAGUCAUUCAUGCAGACACAUAGUAGCAUACACACUCCACGUAUUCAUCAAGUAUUCAAUAAAUCUAUUAUACUUUAUCAUUCCGUUGCUGUGCCGUCUCCUUCCCAAGUAAUAUACAACAUUUUUUUCAUUUACCAUAGAGAUUUAGUUCCCAAUCUCUCUUUGGAUAUCUGUCCAAAGACAUCUGGACAUCUGUGUGAAGUUUGAAUGUUCUCCCCGUGCGGCCGUGACUUUUUCCGAGUGCCCCGGCUUCCUCCUACAUUCGAAAACAAUGUUAUGUUUUUUGGAGACUUUAAAUUGUCCAUAGGUUCAGAAUGUGAGUGUGAAUGAUGGUCCAUAUGUGCCCUGCUAUUUGCUGGUGACCGGUCUAGGGUGACGUCUCUCGCCCGUAGUCAGCUGGAGUAGGCACCUGCUAAAAUGCACUUAAA